UUUGGGUUUCCAGUUCUGCUUCAGGUUUCAUACUGUCUGCUCAGACGCGGUGCCUAAAAACAGAGCGCGUUAAAGAUUCUACGAGUUAGAGAUUUUAGGUGGCCUAACAUCCCCAACCACGCAUCCAGAAUCAGGGAUGCUAGGGUGCAAUCACACGCUUCGAGAAUUUUGAACCCACAAUCUGUUUCGAUUUCGGGGGACUUUCGUUCAGAGCAGACUUGCGUUGUAGGAUCAGUGUUCGUCGCUCAGCUAGUUGGUGGGUUCCUUGCUGCGUUCUGUUGUUGUGUUGUGAUUCUUGGGGCGUGGGAAAUUGGGGUGUUUAGGAGUGUGGAAGCGAGGAGAUUGAUGCAGGUUGUCAUUUGUCAUUUGGUUUCCGAGGGGUGUAGCAAUUGUAGCAGCGAUGGUGAACUCGAUCGCGGAAACUAUUCGAUUGGGGGAACUAUUGGCAGUUUCAAAUCCGAAACCUCGCUGAGCGACACAACUUCGUUGCUAUGGCCGAAGAUAAACGUCAAAGUGGGCAAAUUCUUUUACAUCUUUGAAAUUGUCUUCGCAUUUCGUUUUCUCGCGUUGCAUUCAUUCCGUCGUGUUCUCUGGCAUCGCACGAGUCACCUGCCUUCUAUUUCAUUGCGCAUUUGAAGCAUAUGACUGUCUUGGUGCUCGCUUGCUAUUUUGCAAUUGCCUUGUGGCGUGUCAGAGGUAAUUACGAGGCUGGAGAUUACAUGCUCUACUAGUGACUUCUGAUAUACCAAGCGCAUCCGGCUGCGUUCUAGCUUGUGCAUCACCAAAGCUGCUCAUCUCGAUGUUCUUGUUACAGAUCAGAUGUUGCAUUGACAUGGUAAAUCCGGGUUUCCUACACUUAGUUUUCUCAGUUGAAGAAAUGUUCGUACGAUAAUGCGACUUAUUCAUUGCACUUAUUUUAUCUGUGUCUCGUAUGUCUUGUGCUUUGUGAUUCGAAUGAUACCAAAAUCUGAUUUGAGAAAGGGAGUUGCUGCAAGGGAUCAAAUUCUCGCUAUAAAAGAUUUAUGUUCUGCUGUGGUGGUGGAAAGCCGUGAACAAACUUGGCUGCCUCAAUUGACUUGUCAUCGGGAGUGUUGAAGUUUGCGGAUGACAGAGCUAGGACUAAUUUUAUAAGAGUACGAGCAUGUUAAAAGUGGAGGUUUUUCACUUUUCAAGUUUGAACAGGAGAUGGCUCUGAAGCAUGGGUCGUUGUUAGUAGACACCAGACAUGCCGUUCACGUGAUGGUCGUUACUAUCAUUACUUGCUGCUCUCUGCCUUGAAUGUAAUAUGCGUUGCUAAAUAAUUAGCUUCACAGCUGUCAACGCGGUUUUCAGGAAGUACUCUGGACAUUGUCACCAGUUUUACCUUAGCACCAUCUGUGGGAGGAUAACCCGUUGCCUAUUUUCAUAAGCUGACAACUUAGAAAUGUUGACAGUUCUGUUUCUCACUCUACAUUAGUUCUCUUGCAUUGCUGAAUCGUCCUUUUGCUUUCUGCAGUGCAGUAUGUGGUGAAAACUUAGUGAGAUUCUCGUGCCUUCAAUAUUGAACCGCACCUGAUGACAGGGCACGUUCAUAGGAAGGGAUUUUUAGGAGUUUUUUUUGUCCAUUACAAUUCUUUUGUGGACGAAUUUCACACGUUUGUAUUGCAGCUUUACAUGUUUACAGACUCUGGACGUGACUUGAUGGAAGUUAUCAGCUCAGUACACUUGAAGUGGUUUAGACAACUACUACUGCUGCAGGUCCACAGUUUGAACUCUACCCGUCACCGGAUAGCAUCAUCUUUUGGGGAUAGGCAAGGAUUAGAGCCUGGAAACAUUCGAAAAAGUUCGUAAUUUUUCUUUUGCUCUGGAUGGGGAACAUAUAAAUAGAGGUUUAAAACCAAACAAUCGGUUCAAAGCUCAACUGCCUCAUUAAAUAAAAUGCAAUAAAAGUCAUAGCAACAUUGGGGUCUGAAAAUGUGAUAGUCUUCGUCCUGAGGCGGAAUAAAGCUGGUCGAGUGUAUUCUCUUCUGUUACAUGCAUCUUACUGAAAUCAGCUACGUCCGGAUGCUCUUUUGAUUUGCGGGAGUUCUUGCACAUGUGGUUCAAGGGCAAGUGCUAUUCUUACGAAGUUUUGGGAGCGUAUUACAAGUACCAAGUCUUUCUCGAUAUCCCCAUCUCAUGUUUCUGAAUACUUCUGUCACUCAAUCAUCAUAAUCAAUAUUUUCAAAAAAAUGUUCUGCGGUUUGAUUUGACUUGACGAAUAUCACGAAAUAGUUCGACAUGAAACCUGUUCAACUAAAAUCCUGACUUGUUUGAAACUUGUUAUCACCGUGCAAUCCAUUCAGUCAGUAAGCAGAGCGAUUUCAGCGAUCAGAAGAGGCACAUUGUGUGGUGCGAAAGCAUUACUGGGAAGCAAUCUCUUGAACAACUUCACGUAAAUCCGGCGGUGCUAAUUUAUUCUGCAUGAUCUCAUCAUACUUAGUUUAAUUAUCGAUUGUCUCCAUUGAAGUGUAGGCCAGCUGCUGGGCUUGAUGCAGCCGUAGUAUUUUGUGAGAGAUUUGUGGUUCCAGGCACUCGACGUACUGCCGCCAGUGAUGCAUGCUUGCCAGGGGAUAAACUUUUUGCAAAUGCUUCGACGGGUUGGCGAGCAAUCAAAUUUUAAUAAGCCUUUUCUUGGAAUA